rnacentral:rRNA from 1 species
UACGGGGGGGGCAAGCGUUGUUCGGAAUUACUGGGCGUAAAGGGCUCGUAGGCGGCCAACUAAGUCAGACGUGAAAUCCCUCGGCUUAACCUGGGAACUGCGUCUGAUACUGGGAGGCUUGAGUAUGGGAGAGGGAUGUAGAAUUCCAGGUGUAGCGGUGAAAUGCGUAGAUAUCUGGAGGAAUACCGGUGGCGAAGGCGGCAUCCUGGACCAUAACUGACGCUGAGGCGCGAAAGCUAGGGGAGCAAACGGG